rnacentral:rRNA from 1 species
AUUGAACGCUGGCGGCAUGCUUUAUACAUGCAAGUCGAACGGCAGCGCGGGCUUCGGCCUGGCGGCGAGUGGCGAACGGGUGAGUAAUAUAUCGGAACGUACCCAAGAGUGGGGGAUAACGUAGCGAAAGUUACGCUAAUACCGCAUACGAUCUAAGGAUGAAAGCAGGGGAUCGCAAGACCUUGUGCUCCUGGAGCGGCCGAUAUCUGAUUAGCUAGUUGGUGAGGUAAAGGCUCACCAAGGCAACGAUCAGUAGCUGGUCUGAGAGGACGACCAGCCACACUGGAACUGAGACACGGCCCAGACUCCUACGGGAGGCAGCAGUGGGGAAUUUUGGACAAUGGGGGCAACCCUGAUCCAGCAAUGCCGCGUGAGUGAAGAAGGCCUUCGGGUUGUAAAGCUCUUUUGUCAGGGAAGAAAAGGUCGUGGCUAAUAUCCACGACUGCUGACGGUACCUGAAGAAUAAGCACCGGCUAACUACGUGCCAGCAGCCGCCGUAACAC